rnacentral:rRNA from 2 species
ACUAAGCGUACACGGUGGAUGCCCUGGCAGUCAGAGGCGAUGAAGGACGUGCUAAUCUGCGAUAAGCGUCGGUAAGGUGAUAUGAACCGUUAUAACCGGCGAUUUCCGAAUGGGGAAACCCAGUGUGUUUCGACACACUAUCAUUAACUGAAUCCAUAGGUUAAUGAGGCGAACCGGGGGAACUGAAACAUCUAAGUACCCCGAGGAAAAGAAAUCAACCGAGAUUCCCCCAGUAGCGGCGAGCGAACGGGGAGGAGCCCAGAGCCUGAAUCAGUGUGUGUGUUAGUGGAAGCGUCUGGAAAGGCGCGCGAUACAGGGUGACAGCCCCGUACACAAAAAUGCACAUGCUGUGAGCUCGAUGAGUAGGGCGGGACACGUGGUAUCCUGUCUGAAUAUGGGGGGACCAUCCUCCAAGGCUAAAUACUCCUGACUGACCGAUAGUGAACCAGUACCGUGAGGGAAAGGCGAAAAGAACCCCGGCGAGGGGAGUGAAAAAGAACCUGAAACCGUGUACGUACAAGCAGUGGGAGCCUCUUUUAUGGGGUGACUGCGUACCUUUUGUAUAAUGGGUCAGCGACUUAUAUUCUGUAGCAAGGUUAACCGAAUAGGGGAGCCGAAGGGAAACCGAGUCUUAACUGGGCGUUAAGUUGCAGGGUAUAGACCCGAAACCCGGUGAUCUAGCCAUGGGCAGGUUGAAGGUUGGGUAACACUAACUGGAGGACCGAACCGACUAAUGUUGAAAAAUUAGCGGAUGACUUGUGGCUGGGGGUGAAAGGCCAAUCAAACCGGGAGAUAGCUGGUUCUCCCCGAAAGCUAUUUAGGUAGCGCCUCGUGAAUUCAUCUCCGGGGGUAGAGCACUGUUUCGGCAAGGGGGUCAUCCCGACUUACCAACCCGAUGCAAACUGCGAAUACCGGAGAAUGUUAUCACGGGAGACACACGGCGGGUGCUAACGUCCGUCGUGAAGAGGGAAACAACCCAGACCGCCAGCUAAGGUCCCAAAGUCAUGGUUAAGUGGGAAACGAUGUGGGAAGGCCCAGACAGCCAGGAUGUUGGCUUAGAAGCAGCCAUCAUUUAAAGAAAGCGUAAUAGCUCACUGGUCGAGUCGGCCUGCGCGGAAGAUGUAACGGGGCUAAACCAUGCACCGAAGCUGCGGCAGCGACGCUUAUGCGUUGUUGGGUAGGGGAGCGUUCUGUAAGCCUGUGAAGGUGUGCUGUGAGGCAUGCUGGAGGUAUCAGAAGUGCGAAUGCUGACAUAAGUAACGAUAAAGCGGGUGAAAAGCCCGCUCGCCGGAAGACCAAGGGUUCCUGUCCAACGUUAAUCGGGGCAGGGUGAGUCGACCCCUAAGGCGAGGCCGAAAGGCGUAGUCGAUGGGAAACAGGUUAAUAUUCCUGUACUUGGUGUUACUGCGAAGGGGGGACGGAGAAGGCUAUGUUGGCCGGGCGACGGUUGUCCCGGUUUAAGCGUGUAGGCUGGUUUUCCAGGCAAAUCCGGAAAAUCAAGGCUGAGGCGUGAUGACGAGGCACUACGGUGCUGAAGCAACAAAUGCCCUGCUUCCAGGAAAAGCCUCUAAGCAUCAGGUAACAUCAAAUCGUACCCCAAACCGACACAGGUGGUCAGGUAGAGAAUACCAAGGCGCUUGAGAGAACUCGGGUGAAGGAACUAGGCAAAAUGGUGCCGUAACUUCGGGAGAAGGCACGCUGAUAUGUAGGUGAAGCGACUUGCUCGUGGAGCUGAAAUCAGUCGAAGAUACCAGCUGGCUGCAACUGUUUAUUAAAAACACAGCACUGUGCAAACACGAAAGUGGACGUAUACGGUGUGACGCCUGCCCGGUGCCGGAAGGUUAAUUGAUGGGGUCAGCGCAAGCGAAGCUCUUGAUCGAAGCCCCGGUAAACGGCGGCCGUAACUAUAACGGUCCUAAGGUAGCGAAAUUCCUUGUCGGGUAAGUUCCGACCUGCACGAAUGGCGUAAUGAUGGCCAGGCUGUCUCCACCCGAGACUCAGUGAAAUUGAACUCGCUGUGAAGAUGCAGUGUACCCGCGGCAAGACGGAAAGACCCCGUGAACCUUUACUAUAGCUUGACACUGAACAUUGAGCCUUGAUGUGUAGGAUAGGUGGGAGGCUUUGAAGUGUGGACGCCAGUCUGCAUGGAGCCGACCUUGAAAUACCACCCUUUAAUGUUUGAUGUUCUAACGUUGACCCGUAAUCCGGGUUGCGGACAGUGUCUGGUGGGUAGUUUGACUGGGGCGGUCUCCUCCUAAAGAGUAACGGAGGAGCACGAAGGUUGGCUAAUCCUGGUCGGACAUCAGGAGGUUAGUGCAAUGGCAUAAGCCAGCUUGACUGCGAGCGUGACGGCGCGAGCAGGUGCGAAAGCAGGUCAUAGUGAUCCGGUGGUUCUGAAUGGAAGGGCCAUCGCUCAACGGAUAAAAGGUACUCCGGGGAUAACAGGCUGAUACCGCCCAAGAGUUCAUAUCGACGGCGGUGUUUGGCACCUCGAUGUCGGCUCAUCACAUCCUGGGGCUGAAGUAGGUCCCAAGGGUAUGGCUGUUCGCCAUUUAAAGUGGUACGCGAGCUGGGUUUAGAACGUCGUGAGACAGUUCGGUCCCUAUCUGCCGUGGGCGCUGGAGAACUGAGGGGGGCUGCUCCUAGUACGAGAGGACCGGAGUGGACGCAUCACUGGUGUUCGGGUUGUCAUGCCAAUGGCACUGCCCGGUAGCUAAAUGCGGAAGAGAUAAGUGCUGAAAGCAUCUAAGCACGAAACUUGCCCCGAGAUGAGUUCUCCCUGACUCCUUGAGAGUCCUGAAGGAACGUUGAAGACGACGACGUUGAUAGGCCGGGUGUGUAAGCGCAGCGAUGCGUUGAGCUAACCGGUACUAAUGAACCGUGAGGCUUAACC